GGUAUUGCCCGGGGAGGCAAAUCCCCUGUUCUACAAGGCUGAGCUGUGAAGGGGAUCGAAAAACAAGUAGAGAAGUCUCCGAUUUCACGCUGUCGAGAAAAACUUCUAUCCAGAGAAAGUCCACCCGUACCGCAAACCGACACAGGCAGGCGAGGAGAGAAUCCUAAGAUGAGCGGGAGAAGUGUUGUUAAGGAACUCGGCAAAAUAACUCCGUAACUUCGGGAGAAGGAGUGCCUAAGCAAUUAGGCCGCAGAGAAGAGGCUCAAGCGACUGUUUAGCAAAAACACAGGUCUCUGCUAAAUCGAAAGAUGACGUAUAGGGACUGACGCCUGCCCGGUGCUGGAAGGUUAAGAGGAGAGCUUAGCGGUAACGCGAAGGUUUGAAUUGAAGCCCCAGUAAACGGCGGCCGUAACAAUAACGGUCCUAAGGUAGCGAAAUUCCUUGUCAGGUAAGUUCUGACCCGCACGAAAGGCGUAACGAUUUGAGCGCUGUCUCGACAACACACCCGGUGAAAUUGUAGUACUCGUGAAGAUGCGAGUUACCCGCGACAGGACGGAAAGACCCCGUAGAGCUUUACUGUAAUCUGACAUUGGAUUUUUAUACGAAAUGUACAGGAUAGGUGGGAGGCUAAGAAGAGAGUACGCCAGUAUUCUCGGAGCCGCUGUUGGGAUACCACUCUUUUCGUAUGAGGAUUCUAACGAGAUCGUGUGAAACCAGGAUUCGGACAGUGUCAGACGGGCAGUUUGACUGGGGCGGUCGCCUCCUAAAGAGUAUCGGAGGCGCCCAAAGUUACCCUCAGGAUGGUUGGAAACCAUCUGUAAGAGUGCAAAGGCAGAAGGGUGACUGACUGCGAGAGAGACAUCUCGAGCAGAGACGAAAGUCGGGCUUAGUGAUCCGGUGGUACCGAGUGGAAGGGCCAUCGCUCAACGGAUAAAAGCUACCUCUGGGAUAACAGGCUUAUCUCCCCCAAGAGUCCACAUCGACGGGGAGGUUUGGCACCUCGAUGUCGGCUCGUCUCAUCCUGGAGCUGAAGCAGGUUCCAAGGGUUGGGCUGUUCGCCCAUUAAAGAGGCACGCGAGCUGGGUUCAGAACGUCGUGAGACAGUUCGGUCCCUAUCCGUCGCGGGCGUAAGAUAUUUGAAAGGAGCUGCUCCUAGUACGAGAGGACCGGAGCGGACGAACCGCUGGUGCACCAGUUGUUCCGCCAGGAGCACAGCUGGGUAGCUAAGUUCGGCAGGGAUAAGUGCUGAAGGCAUCUAAGCACGAAGCCCCCCUUAAGAUGAGAUAUCUCAUAUCUAAAAGAUAGUAAGGCCUCUGGUAGACCACCAGUUUGAUAGGCCGGAGGUGUAAGCACAGCAAUGUGUUCAGCUGACCGGUACUAAUCGGCCGAGGUUUUGC
rnacentral:rRNA from 1 species